rnacentral:rRNA from 1 species
GCCCAGACUCCUACGGGAGGCAGCAGUGGGGGAUAUUGCACAACGGGGGAAACCCUGAUGCAGCGACGCCGCGUGUGGGAAGACGGUCCUCUGGACUGUAAACCACUGUCCCCAGGGACGAAGAUGACGGUACCUGGGGAGGAAGCUCCGACUAACUACGUGCCAGCAGCCGCGGUAAUACGUAGGGAGCGAGCGUUGUCCGGAAUUACUGGGUGUAAAGGGAGCGUAGGCGGGACUGCAAGUUGGGUGUCAAAUCUACCGGCUCAACCGGUAGCCGCACUCAAAACUGCAGUUCUUGAGUGAAGUAGAGGCAGGCGGAAUUCCUAGUGUAGCGGUGAAAUGCGUAGAUAUUAGGAGGAACACCAGUGGCGAAGGCGGCCUGCUGGGCUUUCACUGACGCUGAGGCUCGAAAGUGUGGGGAGCAAGCAGGAUUAGAUACCCCAGUAGUC